rnacentral:rRNA from 1 species
GUUAAAAUAAGUAAGUCUGUUCGACUUUUUAAAAAUUACAUGAUUUGAGUUCAAAUCGGUGAAAACCAGAUUGGUUUCUAUCUUUAUAAUAAAAUUUAUUAGUACGAAAGGACCGUAAAUAAUAUUAAUCAAUUUCUUAAUGGCAGAAAA